rnacentral:lncRNA from 1 species
UUGGCAAAUAAAUUUCUGAUUUAAUCUUUAUCAAUGUUCCACUGAGUUUACUUACACAUGCCCACAACUUACAAAGAUAUUCUAUUAAGCACAUAUUGAUUGAGAUUCUAAUACAAUCUCUCUAUAUCAACGUAGGUCAAUGGACGUUCUAUCGUCGAGGUGACCCCAAUAUAUAUCGUCUAUACGAGUCAACAAAUGCAUCAUCACUCACAUUUCUUUAUAACCAUAGAUAUUAUUGGAUAUAAUCUCUCUAUAUCAACGCAAGUCAAAAGACAUUCUACGGUCGUCGAGAUGACCCCAAUAUAUAUCAUAUAUACGAGUCAACAAAUGCAUCAUCACUCACAUUUCUUUAUAACCAUAGAUAUUAUUGGAUAUAAUCUCUCUAUAUCAACGCAGGUCAACAGACAUUCUACGGUCGUCGAGAUGACCCCAAUAUAUAUCGUCUAUGCGAGUCGACAAGUACAUCAUCACUCACCCUUCUUUAUGACCAUAGAUAUUGUUGGAUAUAUGGAUAGUGCUUAUGAUCCGCUGAUUAAGUGAGUCAAGUCCACGCCUAGUACAUUUGCAAGCACGUUGGCUCCAACUUGGAGAAGGAAAUGUCCUACUCUUCCUCCUCCUCCUCCUCCGCCGCCGCCGCCGCCGCCACCGCCGUUGUCUGACGCCGACGUCGACGGACGCACAUUCGGUGGCAGCUGGAUGCACUGAGGAUGCAGAUCAAAGGCACACAGUUGGCACCUGUAAUGAAUCCCAUGCACCGGAAACCGGCAACCGUCGCAGAAUAUUCCGUCAGACGGGUGGGGCGGCGGCUGCAGCCACAGCUGGUGCUGCGGGUGCUGCGAGCACAAGAUGGCUUGUGGGCACGUCUGGAACAAGGAGUGAUUCGGCUGCAUGAUGUGGAAGAUCGUCCUGUCCUUCGCUCUUCACGCCCGGGAAGGAGAAGAGAUAACUUUGGGGAGAUCGCUGCGAGCACGAGAUGGCUUGUUUUCUCUUCACGCUGGGGAAGGAGAAGAGAUAACAGGUGGUAUUUAUAGACUUGGGAGAGGGAAGCAGUAGAGAUAGUUUGUAUUUCUUAAGCAAAUAUUACUUACUUUGGGGGAGUAGACUUGAGGAUUCGUUGACCAAUUCAUUUAUUAUUGAGAGGUCAUCGAUGUUAAUGAUGGUGUUGACUAGGUAGUAUAUAUUUCAUAGACAAAGAUGACUUGAGGAGUAGACUCGAGGUCGCCUACGCGUUUUUGUAGAUUGAGAAUCGUGAUAAAUAUCUUUAUAAAUAAAUAAAUUUUUUUAUUGAGAGGUGUCCGAGAAACUACCAACAUCAAUAAUGAUGUUGACUAGUUAAUAUGUACACCUUAGAUUCUAAGACGACUCAUGUCCGUCAUCUUAAUUAUCUAUCUUUCAUUUCAACAAAUAAGCAACAUCAAAAUAAUAUUUAUUAUGUUUUAUCCUAAACGAACGAGAUUAGAAGUGUUUUUCGGAUUCCUAAAUUAAUGAUAUAUUAAACAAAUAAUCUACACGGAAAAAGGAGCCACAUUUACUUGAAGAAAAGAAUAUGAUAUAUAAAUAAAACACAUCUAUAUGAGGUUACCGACAUCAAUUUAUUGAAAUAAAUAAAAUAUAUCUAUAUAUUAAAAUAAAUAGAUAUAUGAGAGGUUAUCGACAUCAAUAAUGAUGUUGACUAGUUAACAUGUAUACCUUAGAAUCUAAGACGACACAGAAGUUGACUCGGUCGUCGUCGUGUAGAACGUGUGGUUCAUCUCAUCUUAUCUAUCUUUCAUUACAAUAAAUAAGUAUCAUUUAUAAUAAUAUUUAUUAUGUUUUAUCCAAAACGAAUGAGCUUAGAAGUGUUUUUCGGAUUCCUAAAUUAAUGAUAUAUUAAAUAAAUAAUCUACACGAAAAAAGGAGAGACUUUUUUGCUUCAAGAAAAAAAUAUGAUAUACAAAUAAAACACAUCUAUAUGAGUCUACCGACAUCAAUUUAUUGAAAUAAAGAAAAUAUAUCUAUUUAUUAAAAUAAAUAAAAUAUAUCUAUUUAUUGAAAUAAAUAGAUAUAUGAGAGGCUAUCAACAUCAAUAAUGAUGUUGACCGGUUAACAUGUAUACCUUAGAAUCAAAGACCAACAAAAGAGUAGACUCGGUCGUCGUCGUGUAGAACGCGUGGUUCAUCUCAUCUUAUCUAUCUUUCAUUACAAUAAAUAAGCAUCAUUAUAAUAAUAUUUAUUAUGUUUUAUCCAAAACGAAUGAGCUUAGAAGUGUUUUUCGGAUUCCUAAAUUAAUGAUAUAAUAAAUAAAUAAUCUACACUGAAAAAGGAGUGACUUUUGCUUCAAGAAAAAAAUAUAAUAUACAAAUAAAACACAUCUAUACAAGUCUACCGACAUCAAUUUAUUGAAAUAAAUAGAUAUAUGAGAGGUUAUCGAUAUCAAUAAUAAUGUUAACUAGUUAACAUGUAUACCUUAGAAUCAAAGAUCGACAAAAGAGUAGACUCGGUCAUCAUCGUGUAGAACACGUGGUUCAUUACUAGUUAACAUGUAUACCUUAUCUAUCUUUCAUUACAAUAAAUAAGCAUCAUUAUAAUAAUAUUUAUUAUGUUUUAUCCAAAACGAAUGAGCUUAGAAGUAUUUUUCGGAUUCCUAAAUUAAUGAUAUAUUAAAUAAAUAAUCUACACGGAAAAAAGAGAGACUUUUUACUUCCAGAAAAAAAUGUGAUAUACAAAUAAAACACAUGACUUUUCUAUUACGCCCAGAAAGGUAAAUAAUAUUUUUUUAAAAAAUAUAUAUGAAUUUUUUUUAAGAUGUUAUAUAAUUUAGUCAGGAAAAACCUUAAUUGCUUAAUAUUAUAAUUUUUAAUCAAAAUUUGCCUCUUUCAUUUACCCAUGACAUGAAUACAAGUAAACGAUGUUAAACAAAGUAAUUUACUUGUCAUGAGAGAUUAGGGCCAUAAUUAUUAAACAUCAUUACCCAUUUUUUGGGUACAUUUUAAUUACACUUAAUGGCAAUUUUGCUAUGCUUAAUUAUUUUAAACAAUAGUUUAGCUCAAGUGAGUUUAUUUAUUUAUUUGUUUAUUCGAAGGUAGUCGUAUCUUCCCUGCUUCGACUACAUCAGGCAACUCCUAAUUCUAUCUUGCUAUGUCCCCCCACGUGUCAGCUUAGUAGACCCAAUCGGGGACGGUUGGGGAGACAGGGAAGCAGGAACCGGAUGGUGGACCCCUGCAACUUCCGCCCAAUCGGGAGGGCGGUUCCCUGUUUGGUAAACUUUAUCGGUCCACUCACCAAAUGUUGGAUCCCUUCCGCUACAUCGCCACAGUUACUGAAUUAUAUGCUUCUUAAAAGGGAAUAAAAAGAGAAGAAAAGAAAAAGAAAAAUGGACGCGAGAGCGAAGGAAGCGAAGCGGCGAGAAAAUCGAAGAGGGGGAAGACGAGAGAACUAAUUCGUAGCUAUAUAUAUGUAUUAAAUAUAUGUAAUCGUAAUUUCCGAUCCACUCUCCUUCCGCUCGAGCGGCCUCGACGACACAAGGAGCUCGUAUCAAACCGCUGCGGACUUCCUCUGAUUUUUCCAAGGUAGAAACCCUAAUUUUCUUGCGUGAAAUCGAGAAAGAUUUCGUCUUCCGAUCAUUUUGAUGAAGUAAAAGUUCUUGGGAGUUAAAAGAUCGGUCUUUUUAAACGAUUUUCUUAGUGUUAUCUGAAUGCUCGAGAUCGAGAAAGAUCGCGCCUUUCCGUCGUGUUGAUUGACACUAAGGUUCUUGGGAGGAAAAAGAUCGCUUUUUUUUUUGACGAUUUUUUCGUGCUUUUUUUUUUUUUGAGGGCGUUUUGAUUUCAGGGCUCCGAUCCAUGGGGAUUCAAGUGUGGGGUUAGGGUUUGCUGGUACUUGGACCCAAGGCUGGAAUUAGGUUUCUCUUCGUGCGUCUGAUUUUUUUUUUUUUCGUGGUAGUCUUUGGAUUUUGACGAGGGUUAGGAUUUUCCUUCGGCACGACCGCUUGGGAGUUAAAUGAUCGCUUUUUUAAACGAUUUUCUUAGUGUUAUCUGAAUGCUCGAGAUCGAGAAAGAUCGCGCCUUUCCGUCGUGUUGAUUGAUGCUAAGGUUCUUGGGAGGAAAAAGAUCGCUUUUCUUUUUUUACCGAUUUUUCGUGCUUUUUUAUUAUUAUUUUUUUGGUGAGGGCGUUUUGAUUUCAGGGCUCCGAUCCGUUGGGAUUCAAGUGUGGGGUUAGGGUUUUCUGGUACUUGGACCCAAGGCUGGAAUUAGGUUUCUCUUCUUGGGUCUGAUGGUUUUUCUUUCGUGGUAGUCUUGGAUUUUGACUAGGGUUCGGGUUUUCUUUCGGCACGACUGCUUGAGGGCCUACGUGACGUUGCGGAAUGGCGGACGGGAGGAUGAAGGCUGUCGCUGAUGAUGAUGAAAGAAGGGAUUGGGACGAUGAGGUCGGGCAGCAGGAUGAUGAUGAGGCUGAAGAAUUUGAGGAGCUGGAGCUUGGGCUUUCUCUGGGGCGUUGGGGAUGCAAUUCAGGGCUGACGAAUGGUGGCAGGGAUGAUGGCGGAGAGCGCGACUGUGUCCUUCCCUUCCGGUGGAGAGGGGCAUCGGGUGCUCAUGGUUUUAUGAGAGGCAGUCAGCUACAAGGCAUUUCAUCGCAAGAUAAACAAAUUUGAGGACAUGGGGUGAGGAACUGGUGGGUGCGGUAGCUAUUGCCUCAGGAAAGAGAUGUUAGCUUGCCAGAUGAAGCAGUUUUCGAGAUGGAGAGAACUGGAUCAGAUAUAGACAGGGAUACUCAGCUCGAGCGGCCUAAAGUAUUUGCUUCCCCAAAGUAAGUUCUUGUUUUGUGUUAUCCUUGCCAUCUAACCCCUGUCAUGAUUUCCAUGUUUGAGUCGUCAAAAGUAAUAUAUUUCAUAAGUUGGUGCAUUCGUUUCGAAAGGUCUGUAUUUGCUACUAUGAUCUUUUCAUGCAAAUGCUUUUCAUGAAAAUUCUAAGACGAUUGAUUUGGUAAUUACUGUAUGGAUUCAAAUACUUGCAACAUUCCGACCACACCAUAAUGAUAUAAUACUUGUAUACCAAUGUACCAAUGAUAUUGGUUGGUACCGACACACUGAAUAUUUUCUGUAAUUUUAUGGUGUACGAGGCACACCAUAUUUUGAGACUCUUCUAUCUAUAGGUACCAAUAUUGGUAUUUUGAGCCGGGAGACCACUUUUCCAAACAUCUAAGCUAGUGGGAAAGCUCCAAGCUUAUUUAUAAGCUUAAACAUCCCUUUCAUGUAUAUGCCAGAUGAAAGAUUGUUGGACUUAGCAUGUUAAUGCGAUUUAGGAUACAAACUCAUGAUUUGCUUUGAUACCAUGCUAAUACAAGUAGUUGGAUGUACUGCCACUUUUCCAAUAGCUUAGAUUAGUUCGGAAGGAGCUAAUUUAUAUUAUAUAAGCCCCACAAUGUGCACCCUUAUAACUAGGAAAUUAGAAUAUCUAGGGAAAUCAAUACACUUGACAAAGGGCAAAAUUGAGAAGUGGUUUUACUAAAAAAAUGAGAUAACAAAAAAUAGAAUUUCUUAGUAUGUUUUGGGCAUUACAAGUAGAUUUUCUUUGUAGUACCCAAUUGAGUGGGAAGGGAGUCCGAGUUGGAGGUGUUAUAUGGCACAUAUGAAGACCAAAGAAGUUUUUGAGUAAUUCGGGAAAAGGUGUUGCCCACUCUGAUUAAAGGAAUGAUCCCUAUUCUAAGCAGAAUGUCUGACAAAGUUUUUUAAUUACUUUCAGGUUUUAGAAUUAUUAAAGAUCUUUGUUAAAUUAAACUGACAAUGUUUAUGAUGUAAUGCAUAUGAUGGAAUUUCCAGAUACUUGAACAUAAACUCGUGUUGCCUAGUUAAUUGAGUUUCAUGUGUGUUUCUUGGUCAUUGUCCCAGCAAUUGAGAUUUCAACCCUUUAAGAAGUUUCUCUAUCACAACCUAUUCCUCAUUUACUUCGUUGAUGCUGUUUUGAAUCUUAUACAGCCCAAGCAUGAUGACUUGAAGGGAACAGAUUAAUUCUUUUCUCUCAGAAGAAAUUUCUCAGAAGUCUUCAAGUUUCAGAGGUCCAAUAUGCAUACCCUUCUGUACCGUAAGACUUCAGGUCCUCAAACCAGAGACUCUCUUGAGUUUCUUCUCUAUUGGCAUUUCCAUGCAUGGUGAACCAACCAGAAAAAUGAAUCAUAUCCCACAAGAAGGAAUUUGUCGUCACCACAAAUCAUUUUUUCAUUGUCUUCAAGAACUUCUUUUGUUGGAGAAUCGCUGCUAUUUGCAGCUUGAAUAGAGAACAAACUAUAAGGCAACGUGGGCUUGAUUAUUUGGUUUUUGUGCUCGACAAAAUCAUGGGUUAGUCACUUUCGACAAUGCUUUAGUUGUCACUCUUUAUGGAGACAUGUUAUUGUUGCAUCUUCCUCCGAGAUGCUUAAACUUACAUUAGUUGUGACUCUUCUUCUUAUCUUGCAAUUUCCACAAUGAACCACAGCCUCUUCUUGAUUUUGAAGUCUACAUCAUCUUACCAUCCAAUCCCAUAGUAGGUACUUAUCAAUUUUACCUCUCCAUGCUAAUCAUUAUUAGUUUUAUUUAUAGGCAAUUUGGAUCUUGUAGACUUAAAUACAGUGAACUUUGCUAUCUAAGCUGAAAUAAUACUGAAUGGCAUAGCAGCUCUUUGGUCAAAGCAGAGUUCCAGGCAGGAGAUUGCUCCGACAUGGGCAAGAUCACUCUAAAGGAGCUUCUCAGAUUAGAUAUAUCCUCUCUGCAUAAUAUUGUUUUUUUUUUGUACCCUUUCCGUUUACAAAUAAAUUAUAGACCAUUUGCAGGCUUUGAAGGCAUCUUUCAACACUUUUGCUGAAAGCGAUCUUUCCUAAUCGACCAUACACUUUAUGCAGAGUCAUAAUCAGUAAUUCAUGUCUUGUUUCUGUGGUCAACACCCUGCGAGUCAUGUGAGUGGCUUGCUGUCAAUUGGCAUUGACGAAUUUUUUUUAAUAUAAAAUUAACUAUUACUUAUUAAAAAACUAUAUGCAUAUUCGGAUUGUAUGCUGCGAGGAGAUGUGCUUCGAUAUUUAUAUUUCUCGAAACAUGAAGAAAUUUAAAUACUUUGACUUUCCUUUGAUAUGGAUUUUGUAAUAAUGAUAUAAGUGUCAAGUUUGCCUUAUCGAUAUAAUUUGUAUAUAUUUUUUGAGUUUGAGCGUAUUUGAAUAUUUUGGAUUCCAAGAGAAUAAGUUUUAAGAAAGUCUUUAGUCGAAGUUGUCGGUAGCACGACGACAAGCUCCAAUAGUAAUUAUCAUUCUUCUAUCUAAAAUUUUGUAAAUCUCAAAUUAGACGUAAAAGCUUUUAUUAUAAUUAGUAAUAUAGUUAAAAUUAUGAGACAGUAAUGAAUAGUUUAAAUUAGUAUUAGUAGUCAUCCCCUCAAUAAUGUUUCUAUAAAGAAAUAAAUUAGAUGCGAUAGUGAAGUAGCAAUGAAGCUGAGAAUGGUUGUAGGGAAUUAGAAGAAGAAAUCUCAAGAAAUAGGAAGAUGAUCUCAAAACAUAUUUCAAAAAAAUAUUUUAAUUUUUAGGUAAACAUUUAAAUCGCACGUCAAUAUUCCUCUUCCUUCAAUUCCUUCUUUUUUCGAUAAUUGAUAAGUGUUUUUAGAGUACACGAUAGCCGAUUAUAAGUGUAGAACCGAACUCUCGACUUUAAAAAAUAGAAUUGAAGUAGUUGAAUCUUAUAUAUAAUGAUAGAGGUAAAGGUACCAUUACCUAAAUUUUUUAUUUUUUUCUUUCGUACAACUUUAUUGCCCAUCUAAUUCAUUCCUAUGCGCCUUUAAUCUCGUAUCGAUAAAACCAGUUGUUUAAUGAAAUUUUUAUCACCAAUCUAAUUCAUUUCUUACCCUUUAUCGAUAAUUUUUAUCACCAAGCUUUGUCAUUUGAAAUAAAAAUCCAACGAUCGAGUUGCUUGUAAUAUGAAUUUUUUUUUUUUUAACAAGGAUUGGAUGAAAACAAUCUUAUUGUGUUAAGGAAUUCUAGAAUGAUUUUUAAAGAAGUUAGAUAUCAAAAAGUAGGUAUUUAAGGUGUUUGGAUUGAUAUAUAUUAGCAAUUCAUAGUUCUUAGAGGCAAAGAUAUUUGAUCCUAUAGUCAUCUACUUUUUGAUACCUAAUUUGGGGUUGCCAAAUAAGAGAAAAUAAAAGCUUCCAAUUAGCAAAUGAUUGAGUGUUUUAUUUUAAAUCUCAAGAGUUAUCUUAUCAUUAUUAUUAAUAAGGAUUUUGUCCUAUGAAAUGAAUACAUUUUUGACAGUGUGAUGCUGAAUACCCAAACCAUCAUUUUAUUAUUUUAAUUAUUAUUCUAAAAAAACUAUUUGGAUAUUAUUGAGAAUCUGUUUAGACAUUUCAUGUUCAUAAGAAAAUGAAUAAGAAUCGAAUUAACAGCAGAAUUGAUCUUUGACUGAGAGAUGAGACAACAUUUUGGCAAAUAAAAUUCUGAUUUAAUCUGUAUCAAUGUUCCACUGAGUUUACUUACACAUGCCCGCCCACAACUUACAUAGAUCUUCCAUCGAGCACCUAUAGAUUGAGAUUCUAAUACAAUAUCUCUUUGUCAACGUUGGUCAACGGACGUUCUACAGUUGUCAACGCAGGUCGACGGACGCACUGAGGAUGCAGAUCAAAGUCACACAGGCUGCACCUGCAAUGAAUUCCUCGCACCGGCAACUGGCAACCGUCGCAGAAUCUUUGGCCAAACGGGUGGGGCGUCGACUGCGGCGACAGCCGGUAAUGCAAGCACAGUUCUUGUGGAGGUCGAAGUCGCUGGCGUCGCAGCGGUAGUGGGAGCCGAAGCCGGGGCACCGACAGCAUCCGGAACAAGGGUCGCUUCGGCCCUGUCCAUCGCUCUAGCUCUUCGCGCCCGGGAAGGAGAAGAGAUCACAGGUAUUUAUAGACUCGGGAGAGGGAAGCAGCAAAGCAAGCACGUUUAUCGAAUUCAUUUAUUGCGACGCCGCUGAUGUCAAUGGCGGCGUUGACUUUUUUUUUCGGCAGUGAAUGCGUCUCUUGACUUGGACGUCGUCUUCGC